rnacentral:ncRNA from 1 species
ACGAUGAAGAGUUUGAUCCUGGCUCAGGAUGAACGCUAGCGGCAGGCUUAACACAUGCAAGUCGAGGGGUAUAGUUCUUCGGAACUAGAGACCGGCGCACGGGUGCGUAACGCGUAUGCAAUCUACCUUUUACAGAGGGAUAGCCCAGAGAAAUUUGGAUUAAUACCUCAUAGUAUGUGAGAAUGGCAUCAUUUUCACAUUAAAGUCACAACGGUAAAAGAUGAGCAUGCGUCCCAUUAGCUAGUUGGUAAGGUAACGGCUUACCAAGGCUACGAUGGGUAGGGGUCCUGAGAGGGAGAUCCCCCACACUGGUACUGAGACACGG